rnacentral:rRNA from 1 species
UGGUGGAGUGAUUUGUCUGGUUAAUUCCGUUAACGAACGAGACCUUAACCUACUAAAUAGUAACGUGAAUUUCGAUUCACGGCAUACUUCUUAGAGGGACUAUCGGUCUAAACCGAUGGAAGUUUGAGGCAAUAACA